UAAAAGGCAUGAUGACAGUUCACACACUGC
rnacentral:piRNA from 1 species